GGAGUGUCGGCUCCUGGUGGGAAGGCCCUGGUGCCCACCUUCCUGGUGCCUCUCUGUCCUUCUGUCCCUCCCACAAGGGGACCUAUGGCCCUGCAGCUGCAGGGGGACAGGAGAACAGGCCCAGGGUGCUGGCCAGGCUCAGAGGGGGAGGCCCUCAGGGAAAGGGGAGUCUCCUUCCCCAGAUGGAUCCAGGGGGCUGCUGGCUGCUGGUGGGGGCAGCUGAGAAGGGCCCAGAAAUGUCUAUGGAAUUGCUUCCCCUCCUCCCACGUCCUGAAGAGGUUUCCGUGUCCCGAUGGCAGUGCCGGCUGCUGCCAUCUUGGGAGCGUCCUGUGGAGAGGCCCACGUGGCAAGGAGCUGAGGGCAGCCUCUGGCCAAUAGCCAGCAUUGAAUUGAAGCCCUCAGUCCACCAACCUGUGAGGAACUAGAUUCUGUCAACAACAACCAUGUGAGUGAGGCUGGAAGUGGAUCCUUCCCCAUCAAACCUUGAGAUGACAGCAGCCGGACACCUUGAUUGCAGUCUGUGAGAGAGCCUGAGCCUGAGGACCCCAGCAAGCCACUCACAGAUUCCUGACCCAUGGAAACAGAGAGACAAUACGUGUUGUUUCAGCCGCUAAGAUAUGGGCUAACUUGUUAUGCGCUGUAGAUAACAAAUGCACUCCUUCCUCCCUGACCUCUUGCCUCGGAAAUACUGAGUCCCUUUGUCUUUGGCCUUCAUUCAUUCAUCUGGCUCGCCCUGCCUCCCUGAGCCCCCUUCUCUCUCCUUUGUUGUCAUCUCUUCCAGCCCCAGGUUGUAGCCUACCCCCGAACCUCUGGUCUCCACACUCCCCGGAGAGCCCAUCCCUUCAUGGCUGCAGUGUGAGUAGUGUCACACCGAUGGCGCUGUUCCUCGAGUUAUUCUCCACUCCAUCCGCUCCUCUAAAUUCAGUUACACUUCUCCUCUGGCCCCUGAAUAUACGUUUGAUCUGGAUGCUCCUAGAACAAUGCAAAUCAGUUGCUACGUCCCUCCUCAUCUGUUUUCAGUCAGCAAUAGAUGUUCCCUUUGU
rnacentral:lncRNA from 10 species